GGCUUCUAACUCCCUUAGAGCUCAUCUCAGAGCUAGAAGCCUGUUGGAGGCUAGAGGCUGGCCAGGGGAAGCUGGAAGAAGCUGGAUGGGCCCCAUCUUCCGGGAUUUCAAGAGGUAAAGGGAAGAGCCCAAGAGAAUUCAAAUAAGACCAAAUUUUUAUCUGAAACGUCAUGGUGUUUACGUAAGAAAGUGAGUGAAAUCUGCCAAAGGAGGAAUUUAGUAGAGAUGCCCCUCCCGCGGUUAAGAAAGCUGACUUCUUGAUUAAAAAUGACACCUGCUCUCCAAAGCUAGUUCCAAGAGAAGACCCCAUAAAGAAGGAGCCUGACCCCCGGCCUCCCCUGCGGCCACAAGGGUCACCUCUGCUCCAUAUUUCAUGCUGAGGAGUGUGACCACCUGUUUCGAGGCCCAGACACAGGCAAACAAGCUUCCUUUGGUGUCUCUGCUUUUGGAUACUGUGGGCUGUCUGAGACGGUGCGAUGCGCGGGUGUACAAAGGAACAAUGACACACAGAGAUUUCCACCAUCACGCUGCUUGUGUCUUUCAUCCACAGUAGUUUGUGCUCCAGAGCCCCCGGUUUCUGUCCUGUUUGUGUGGGUCCGUCUGGGGACCAGCCUUCCUCGUUCCCAGGCUGCUUCCACCAUCCCUCGCUGGUCAGGUGGACGGAAAGCACUGCCCCUCAGACCAAGAGAGAAAGAUGUAGGUUUGCCUUCUUCCUACCCUGGAUCAGUCCCGCUGUCUCACUCCCUGUCUCUGGCGAUGGGCACCAAGAAACCACACUUGUCAGGCAAGGUUUGGCCUUUUUUCCUAUCAUGUCCUUGUGGUCUUCAGUUGAUGUAACAGCAUUGAUUACAAGAGAGAUGUGCGCAGAAGGCGGGAAAAGUGCUUUCCUCCUCUUCCUCACCUUCCUGACUGCCUGAGGCUAAGUCCUGGGUCUUAUAGAACCGUUGAAAUAGAUUGCAUCUCAAGCAAAGAUACCUCUCUGCUCUGAAGCACGAAUCCAUUGCUGGUUGCCAGAGGGUAUCAUUGACUCCCUUGCUGGUUAAAAAACGUACCCAGAGCCUCACACAGUCGGCAGUUCCUUGUGUGUCCUCGAGCUUUCGAUUCAGUUGCUCUGGAAACGUUAAUUGAGCAGCUACUCUGUAUACACAGCCAACCAACUAAAUCUAUUGCGACAGACGUUUCACGAAAGAAAAAAGUUAUUAGCAUAGAUCACCCAGGAAAGGUAUCAUCGCAGAAGAAAGAACACUCUUUCUGCGGGGAUAAAAAACUCCCCGCAAUGCUCCCUGAUUCUGAUGCUGACAGCUUAGAACUUGCCUGACUCGGGCACUGAGAGCAGCUUUUUGGAAGGGCUGUUCUCAGGGGACUUUGUUACUGAAAAGGAACACAAGUCACUGAGGCGUGGGUGUCCCCAGCAGCAGAGUCUGCGCUGCACCCGGCUCCUCCCAGAACACUGGGCUGUGGUCCUGUUUUCUGGGUUGCUCGUCCUUUGGGGCAUCUUUCUGAGUGGUUUUCAUCAUCUUCCCUUUGGGCUUCGCUUUCCUCCUCUGUUAAUUGUCGACUUGGAAAUGAUCUCAGAUUACCAUGCUCUGAUUUUAUGGUUUCCUUUCUUUCUAAAGGGAAGCAGACUUCCCUGCCAUGUUGGGAGAGGCUGUGGCAGUAUAUAGCCUAAAACUAAUAAGCAACGACUGGGGAGUAGCCAGCCCCCAAGCGCUUUCCUAAAAUACGCUCUGAUUUCCAACAUUCGCCAGCGCCAACAACUGUUUGCCGUCCCUCUAAUAAUAUCCUGUAUACAAAAUUCCGGAAGAUUUGGAGCUAGUGGCACAGUGACCCUCUGGGACACAUUUAUUCAGGGUGAGGUGAUGGGUCCUUGUGAUGUACGCCUUCGACUAUAGUCCGUGCUCCUGGAUGCUGGCUGUGGAUUAAAACCACUGGAGCCUAUUCUGGAUCAAUUAAAUCAGAAUCUCUGGGGUCUGGACUGGGGUCUGGACAUGAGGAUUUAAAAACAAGUCUCCCAGGUGGCUUUGGUGUGGGGCCAGGGCUGAGAAUCCUUGGCCCAGAAAAACAAGCACAGCAGGAAGAGCAGAGCCUGAGGGGGCCUGAGGAACGUGCAGGUGAAAGGGUUUUGGUAAUAAAACGGUUCAUCUUUACGUUUCAUUUUAGAAAAAUAUCUUCACUCUCCUUUUCUUCUUGGAUGCUCGAGAAUGCAUAUUUGGGUUUGCCAUAGCAUCUCUGUGGAUUUUUUUUUCCCAAGACGUAUGACUUUGUUGCCAGUGAGCCCAAGAGAUAAAUGAAAGAAUGGAGUUGCUGUGGCAAGGGUGACUUGUUGAAGAUUUUGCCUUCCAGCUCUUUUAAACCACGACUUUUUGUUGUUGUUUUUAUUUUUUAUUUAUUUUUAAUUUUUUUUUAUUUUUUGUUGUUUUUAAAGGAUGUAUUUACAUACAGCUUUGCAGGAGAAUGUGAGUAUUCAGUAAAGGGGCUCACAUCCAUGUACUUUGAAAUGGGUUCAUUUAUAGCAAAUCCAGAGUGAAUAUUCCCAAAGGGGUGGGGAAAAAACAAACAAACAAAAACUUGAGGAGUUCAGACCUUACUGUGCUUGGCAUGGCAUCUGGGGACCAAAGCUGCUGGUUGUCCCUCUGUAUCUCCUAUGUGGGUGACAGCUUUGCAAGGCACAGAGAUCUGCCAGAUGUGUGCCAGAGUGACUGGGUGGGGAGAAUCCUGAAGCUGGUGUGGCCACCUGAAGAGGGUGAACUUGUUCCGAAUAAUGAUUAGAUGCACUGACUGCAUACUUAGCAGCAUCCCCUGGCGCUUUUAGUCGCGGAAUUGAAACAGGCACACCCAGGCAAAUGUGCAGGAACACAUGGAGAAACCCUGACCUCAAAAAGCGCUUGCUAAUUGUUUGAGGCUUUGCGGGGCCAUACUGUCAAGCUCAGGCAGGACCUCCAAAUCCCUCAUCAGAUUUAGGAAGUAUUGUGUCAGUAUUUGGGUGCUUGGUUUUGGUAAUUGACAAACCAGGGGCUGUUGGUCUUUAAGAACUUCCUGUUUCCUGCAGGCAGGGCUCUCCUUCCUCAGUGCACCUGCUUCGGGGCUCUCACUCUGGAGAGGAAGUUGUAGAGCAAGAGAGCCUUUCCACUGAACUGGACACCAACCCCCCCC